GUGAAUCAUCGAGUCUUUGAACGCACCUUGCGCUCCUUGGUAUUCCGAGGAGCAUGCCUGUUUGAGUGUCAUUAAAUUCUCAACUCCCUUUGAUUUCUUCUUGGGUGAGCUUGGACGUUUGGAGGCUUGCCGGCUGCAAAGUCGGCUCCUCUGAAAUGCAUUGGCAAAGGCGUUUGCAUUCAUCGGCCUUCGGUGUGAUAAUGAUCACCGUGGCUGGCUUGCUACGACGCCUGUGUCUGAUCUUCUUCCAUUUGGUUGGAAAAAGCUCGCUCGACAAUUUGACCUCAAAUCAGGUAGGAUCUACCCGCUGAACUUAAGCAUAUCAAUAAGCGGAGG
rnacentral:rRNA from 1 species